UACGUAGGGGGCAAGCGUUGUCCGUAAUCAUUGGGCGUAAAGCGCGUGUAGGCGGCUCGGUAAGUCUGCUGUGAAAGUCCAGGGCUCAACCCUGGGAUGCCGGUGGAUACUGUCGAGCUCGAGUCCGGAAGAGGCGAGUGGAAUUCCUGGUGUAGCGGUGAAAUGCGCAGAUAUCAGGAGGAACACCAAUGGCGAAGGCAGCUCGCUGGGACGUGACUGACGCUGAGACGCGAAAGCGUGGGGAGCAAACAGG
rnacentral:rRNA from 1 species